UUCAACAGUCUUCCAAGAGAUUUGAUUAGUUUCUUGACUCUCUAUUCUCUGAGGACUCUAACCCUACGAUAUGUUUUUUGUUUUCUUUUUUGUUGAUUCGUUUUGUAACUUUUGUUUGAUUUCUCCAUCAUCACAGGAAUUGCUAAAGGAAUUGAUUUUCACGAUUUUAUUGAUCAAUUUGGAGAAGCAUUGGAGCUACCAAAACAUGGGGGUUAAAGAUCCGCUGUCAUGUAUCCGGCUUCAAUGAAACCCGAAAAAGAGAUUGACUUCCUUUGUGUUUGAUGUAUAAAUUCCCAGGAUGUGGGCACAACACAGCAGCAUCAACAGCAAAGGGAGAACAUUGAAACUUCGGGCAGUAAAUUCAAAUGCUGAGAGAUUGAAACCCACAAAUCCGGAUCAGUAAACUUAAAAGUGUCCGGAGGCGAUUGAGAUAUGGGCAUAAAGAAGGAAAACACCAUUUACAGGCGUACAACUUUCUUUUUUUUUUGGUUCUGAAUUUUUGGAGCAAAAAGAUGCAGGCUUAUGCAGAACUUCUCGAGGAAGGCGAUCCAAAAAUUCCAGCAUGGUUCUUCAGUCCCAAGGAUGGUUUGAAUGUGGGAUUAAAUUCACCACUCCUCUGUUUAUUUAAGGACUGCUUAUGUUCAUUCAGAAGGUAUCACCACCCUUAAAGGUUUCUCAUUGAAGUUAGCGUUGGAAGUGGUUCACUUGAUGCUGCAUUCUGUGACAAUCUGCGAGAUCAGUCUUCACUAUUAGAAGGGUUACAUGUGUAAAAGAUUAAUCAUUUGAGUGUUGGUCAAUAACACAAAAUGAGCAGUUGCUUGCUACUGGAAGCUCAGAGGGAACCUUGGUUAGAAGUUUUAAAAUUUGUUGCAAGAGGUUCACGCGCACGAUUUGAAAGAAGAACUAAAGUGUUGCUAUCAACAAGUUCAGGUUCAAAAACUCUUUGACUAGGAUAGUCCUCUCAGCGUCAAGAUCACAGUCGUUGUUGCUGUAGGAGAAACCUGACAUCUAAGCUUUUUGGCAAAGUUCUUAGUUUCAGACCUUAUCCAGAUAUAUCUAAGAUUAACUUGCUUAUCAUAGAAUCCGAGAAUCUCGAAGUCCACUGUUUCGUCUUUUCUUUCAUUUGAAACCUGCAAAAGCAAUUGUAGAUGCGAUUCAGGAAUCUCUAAGUUCAUCGUUGCUUUCAGUUGGAACCUGCAAAAGCAAUUGAGAAUGAGAACUAUGCUUUAGCAGCUGGAAUUCAAGAUCAAAAUUCGGAGUUAGAGAGUGGUGGAGCGAGAUGACGUUACUAGGUUACCGGAGAACAGCUUGCAGCGCUCUUCGUAGAUAGUCCAUAUCUGGUGAAUGAUCUUUGUAGGAACCUCUUUGAUGUCAUAUGAAGCUUUUUCAACAAGUUUUGUCAUAGUUUCGAGGGCUUGGGACCAAUAAUAUACAAUAGUAAAACAGUUCGAUAAUCUAAUUACUUUGUUCACUUUGGAGCCACCGGGUAGAACAUCUUUAAGGAUGCAGACAAGUUCCUUUGGAAAUGCAAAGGACUCUGGGAAACCCUAUCAGAGGCACGUGGAAUAGGCCUUUGACGGGCUUGGAAUUUUACUUCUUUUGACCUCCAAUCAGCAACUAUUCAGGUAUCCUUCUAUACAUCAUAUAAGAAACUUUUACCUGUAAAGAUCAUGUGCAAAGGGGAACCAUAUGUACCCUAUGCCAGGUGGAUGUUCAUGUCUCUAUAAGUGUGGUUGUUAAUAAGUGGAAGGAUGAGAACGAUAAAUUCAUGACUUCUAGGCAGUGGCUUGAUUUCUGCAGGGUAGAGAAUUCCACAAGUGAAGGAUAUCCUGGGACUUGGGAGCAUAACCGGUCAAGAUUUUUUCCAUUCCUCCAUUUUUUUUAUAGAGUCAAGACUCGGUUCUCUAAUUGAGCUGGAAAGGAAUCAAGCUGAGGUUAUGUUUACAAUUCCCAUCACAUAUCUCCUGCUUAUGGAUUGUUUGAUUGUGAGUGCCAGUGUUUGGUUGUUAUGUUUAUUUCAUUGUAUUAACCUAUAGCUUCAAUCUGCACUUGGCGGUAUAUAUUAUCAAGGUUUACAAGCCACUCUUAUGCCUUCAACAACUGUGGCUUUUUAUUGUUCCAGAUAAUUCACAUCAAUAGUUGAGAAGCCAGUGGCAUCAGGAAGUUAUGCUGAAGCUAUGUCGUAAUAUGGUAUUUUUUAGAAAAAUUUGCUGAACUCACAACGAAUUAAUACAUUGUGCCGAGGAAACCAUCCUCAACACUCAACUACAUGAUAUCGGGUCGCAGGUAACACAAAGUUAAAUUUACAUUUGGAAUUUGGUGUAUUAAAUUUCCACUCGCUUUAGCAAUUCCUUUCUUUUUCUUUGAGAGGGACAUGUACAUUCAGCUUCGGAAGUAGCAAUUGCUUGGUCCUACAAGAGGUUGGGAACACUUUGUAGAUUUGGUGUGGAUGCAAAUGGUAGAAAUUUUGGACUAAGAUCCGAAUAAUGUCUUGCUCUAUAAAUAUGCUAUUGUUAAAA